rnacentral:lncRNA from 1 species
GCGGCAUGGCGGCAGCAGCAGAGCGACGUGCGGCGUGGGGCCACAGUGGAUUUGCUGUUGCUUGCGUGUCUGGAAAUGUAUCCGGCGUCCCCGAAAAAUAUUAGCGUUGUACUGAAUUGAUGAUUUAUUCGUCGCACGAAAAAUAUUUAUAGAUAUGAUGGGUAAUUGAUUUACUCUGGAAUAAAUGAAGUCGGAGAUAAAUGAGACGGAUAAUAGUCACGGCGAUUAAUAUUUAAUCUGAUAACCGGAAUUUGGAAUAAAAAGGAAUAGAUAACAGACGAUGCGAAUAAUAUUUAGUCGGUCGAUUGAAAUUGAGAAUGAAAAGAGAUAGAUAAAGGAUGAGACGAUAUUUAUUUGGACGAUCGAGGUGCAGAAUAAAUAGAAAUACUUGUAGGAUAGAUUAUUGGGAGAGA